CCUACGGGGGGCUGCAGUGGGGAAUAUUGGACAAUGGGCGCAAGCCUGAUCCAGCCACGCCGCGUGAGUGAUGAAGGCCUUCGGGUCGUAAAGCUCUGUGGGGAGGGACGAACCGCUGCUGGCUAUGCACCAGCAGCAUGACGGUACCUCCUUAGCAAGCACCGGCUAACUUCGUGCCAGCAGCCGCGGUAAUACGAAGGGUGCAAACGUUGCUCGGAAUUAUUGGGCGUAAAGCGCACGUAGGCGGCUUAGCAAGUCGGAAGUGAAAUCCCUCG
rnacentral:rRNA from 1 species